AUCCAGCUGAUGAGUCCCAAAUAGGACGAAUCGCUCGUACUGGAU
rnacentral:hammerhead_ribozyme from 1 species